rnacentral:rRNA from 1 species
AUUGAACGCUGGCGGCAUGCCUUACACAUGCAAGUCGAACGGCAGCACGGGUGCAAUCCUGGUGGCGAGUGGCGAACGGGUGAGUAAAGUAUCGGAACGUGCCCAGUCGUGGGGGAUAACGUAGCGAAAGCUACGCUAAUACCGCAUACGAUCUAUGGAUGAAAGCGGGGGAUCGCAAGACCUCGCGCGAUUGGAGCGGCCGAUAUCAGAUUAGGUAGUUGGUGAGGUAAAGGCUCACCAAGCCGACGAUCUGUAGCUGGUCUGAGAGGACGACCAGCCACACUGGGACUGAGACACGGCCCAGACUCCUACGGGAGGCAGCAGUGGGGAAUUUUGGACAAUGGGCGCAAGCCUGAUCCAGCAAUGCCGCGUGCAGGAUGAAGGCCUUCGGGUUGUAAACUGCUUUUGUACGGAACGAAACGGCGAGCUCUAAUACAGUUUGCUAAUGACGGUACCGUAAGAAUAAGCACCGGCUAACUACGUGCCAGCAGCCGCGGUAA